rnacentral:rRNA from 1 species
UACGUAGGUGGCAAGCGUUUGUCCGGGAUUUUACUGGGCGUAAAGAGCGCGCAGGCGGUCGUACAAGUCGCCGUGUGAAAGCCCCCGGCUCAACUGGGGAGGGUCACGGCGAUACUGUUCGACUCGAAGGCAGGAGAGGGAAGCAGAAUUCCCGGUGUAGUGGUGAAAUGCGUAGAUAUCGGGAGGAAUACCAGUGGCGAAGGCGGCUUCCUGGCCUGUUCUUGACGCUGAGGCGCGAAAGCUAGGGUAGCAAACAGG